rnacentral:rRNA from 1 species
AGAGUUUGAUCAUGGCUCAGGACGAACGCUGGCGGCGUGCCUAAUACAUGCAAGUCGAGCGAGCUUGCCUAGAUGAUUUUAGUGCUUGCACUAAAUGAAACUAGAUACAAGCGGGCGGCGGACGGGUGAGUAACACGUGGGUAACCUACCCAAGAGACUGGGAUAACACCUGGAAACAGAUGCUAAUACCGGAUAACAACACUAGACGCAUGUCUAGAGUUUGAAAGAUGGUUCUGCUAUCACUCUUGGAUGGACCUGCGGUGCAUUAGCUAGUUGGUAAGGUAACGGCUUACCAAGGCAAUGAUGCAUAGCCGAGUUGAGAGACUGAUCGGCCACAUUGGGACUGAGACACGGCCCAAACUCCUACGGGAGGCAGCAGUAGGGAAUCUUCCACAAUGGACGAAAGUCUGAUGGAGCAACGCCGCGUGAGUGAAGAAGGGUUUCGGCUCGUAAAGCUCUGUUGGUAGUGAAGAAAGAUAGAGGUAGUAACUGGCCUUUAUUUGACGGUAAUUACUUAGAAAGUCACGGCUAACUACGUGCCAGCAGCCGCGGUAAUACGUAGGUGGCAAGCGUUGUCCGGAUUUAUUGGGCGUAAGGCGAGUGCAGGCGGUUCAAUAAGUCUGAUGUGAAAGCCUUCGGCUCAACCGGAGAAUUGCAUCAGAAACUGUUGAACUUGAGUGCAGAAGAGGAGAGUGGAACUCCAUGUGUAGCGGUGGAAUGCGUAGAUAUAUGGAAGAACACCAGUGGCGAAGGUGGCUCUCUGGUCUGCAACUGACGCUGAGGCUCGAAAGCAUGGGUAGCGAACAGGAUUAGAUACCCUGGUAGUCCAUGCCGUAAACGAUGAGUGCUAAGUGUUGGGAGGUUUCCGCCUCUCAGUGCUGCAGCU